UGGGAAAUAUGGACAAAGGGCCGAAACCCGAACCAGGCAAUGCGGCGGGGGGGAGGAGGGCCUUCGGGUGGUAAACCCCUUUUGUUGGGAAGGAAAAGCGGCCGGCAAAUACCCGGUGUUUCUGACGGACCCCAAGAAAAAAGACCCGGAAAACUACGGCCCAGCAGCCGCGGUAAUACGAAGGGGCAAGCGUUACUCGGAAUUACUGGGCGUAAAGCGUGCGUAGGUGGUGGUUUAAGUCCGUUGUGAAAGCCCUGGGCUCAACCUGGGAACUGCAGUGGAUACUGGAUCACUAGAGUGUGGCAGAGGGUAGUGGAAUUCCCGGUGUAGCAGUGAAAUGCGUAGAGAUCGGGAGGAACAUCAGUGGCGAAGGCGACUGCCUGGCCCAACACUGACACUGAGGCACGAAAGCGUGGGGAGCAAACA
rnacentral:rRNA from 1 species